rnacentral:rRNA from 1 species
CACGUAGGGGGCGAGCGUUGUCCGGAAUUACUGGGCGUAAAGGGUGCGUAGGCGGCCCAAUAAGUCAGGUGUGAAAUACCGUGGCUCAACUGCGGUAUUGCACAUGAAACUGUUGGGCUUGAGUGCAGGAGAGGGAAGUGGAAUUCCUAGUGUAGCGGUGAAAUGCGUAGAGAUUAGGAAGAACACCAGUGGCGAAGGCGGCUUCCUGGCCUGCAACUGACGUUGAUGCACGAAAGCGUGGGGAGCAAACAGGAUUAGAUACC